CGGCAUGCCUAAGACAUGCAAGUCGAACGAGGUGGCCCACUGAUUAAGAAGGAAAGUUGAAAAGCUUGCUUGGAUGCUGGAAUUCUUAUGACGUGGAUCUUCCACCUAGUGGCAAACGGGUGAGUAACACGUGGGUUACCUACCUCUAAGUUGGGGAUAACAAUUGGAAACGAUUGAUAAUACCGAAUAUGCUCUCCGGAGUAAAGAAGCCCUUAAAGCUUCGCUUAGAGAUGGGCCUGCGGCGUAUUAGUUAGUUGGUGGGGUAACGGCCUACCAAGACGACGAUGCGUAGCCGAACUGAGAGGUUGAUCGGCCACACUGGGACUGAGACACGGCCCAGACUCCUACGGGAGACAGCAGUUAGGAAUAUUCGUCAAUGGGGGAAACCCUGAACGAGCAAUGCCGCGUGAGUGAUGAAGGCCCUAUGGGUUGUAAAACUCUGUUGUUGAGAAAGAAUUGUAAGAUUAGGAAAUGAGUCUUACUUGACGGUACUCUUCAAGAAAGCCACGGCUAACUACGUGCC
rnacentral:rRNA from 1 species